UACGUAGGUGGCAAGCGUUGUCUGGAAUUAUUGGGCGUAAAGCGCGCGCAGGUGGUUUCUUAAGUCUGAUGUGAAAGCCCACGGCUCAACCGUGGAGGGUCAUUGGAAACUGGGGAACUUGAGUGCAGGAGAGAAGAGUGGAAUUCCACGUGUAGCGGUGAAAUGCGUAGAGAUGUGGAGGAACACCAGUGGCGAAGGCGACUCUUUGGCCUGUAACUGACACUGAGGCGCGAAAGCGUGGGGAGCAAACAGG
rnacentral:rRNA from 1 species